rnacentral:tRNA from 1 species
GACCCUGUUGUCAAAUGGCUAAGGUGUCUGACUUUAGAUCAGAAGAUAGAGGGUUCAAGUCCCUUCAUGGUUG